rnacentral:rRNA from 1 species
GAUGAACGCUGGCGGCGUGCCUAAUACAUGCAAGUCGAGCGAACAGACGAGGAGCCUGCUCCUCUGACGUUAGCGGCGGACGGGUGAGUAACACGUGGAUAACCUACCUAUAAGACUGGGAUAACUUCGGGAAACCGGAGCUAAUACCGGAUAAUAUAUUGAACCGCAUGGUUCAAUAGUGAAAGACGGUUUUGCUGUCACUUAUAGAUGGGUCCGCGCCGCAUUAGCUAGUUGGUAAGGUAACGGCUUACCAAGGCAACGAUGCGUAGCCGACCUGAGAGGGUGAUCGGCCACACUGGAACUGAGACACGGUCCAGACUCCUACGGGAGGCAGCAGUAGGGAAUCUUCCGCAAUGGGCGAAAGCCUGACGGAGCAACGCCGCGUGAGUGAUGAAGGUCUUCGGAUCGUAAAACUCUGUUAUUAGGGAAGAACAAAUGUGUAAGUAACUAUGCACGUCUUGACGGUACCUAAUCAGAAAGCCACGGCUAACUACGUG